CGUUAGCGCAUGUGGAGCGCGAGUGUACUCACCAGUAGCUCUUGGUUACAAAUCUUCUCGAGGCCUCCUGGAUGCACUCCUUUCUUGCACUAUGUCACAUCUUGGCGAGGGAAGCGAAGGGACGGUGUGGGAGAGAGAGAGUUGCCACUGGUUUGAGUGGAGAUUCUGCAACAGUGGGUGGAGACUCCGCACUGAGUGACAGGAAGAACCCGACCAGUAAAGGAGCAGCUCUCAAGGGCAGCGGGGGGGAAGUUGGCGUGCUCGCAGGUAGAAUCUGCCUGGAGACCUUGACAACUCCGAGACUGCCGGGAGAGGGAGAGAGGGCGAUCGAACAGUGAACCUCUUCAGAUGGCUUUGGCGUCUCAGGACUACAGAGGGUAAAAUGGAUGCCAAGACGGAGGCCUGAGAGGAAAGGGAGGAGAGGGGCGCCGCAGUAGGCCCCACCCACCUGGGCAGCAGGCGGUAGUUUUCCAGGCUGAUUUCGGGCAGGAAGGUGUCGCAGUCGAACUGCUGCCGGACGCGAGUCACGAAGAGCCUGCGCAGGCAGGGGGUCUCCAUGGCUUCCUGUGCAGGCAAAGGCAGAGGCACAGGUACAGCGCAGGCUAAGCUGACUGGAGGGGACAGGCGAAACGUCAUCUCCGUAUCCUUGAGCGACAAAGUCUCCAUGGAAACAGGCAGCAGGAAAGAGAAGGUGUGUGUGUGUGUACUGCUUAUUGUUGCGUAAGCAAGAACACGGUUCACCUGGAGACAUGAGGAGGAUGGAGGGAAGGGGAGGGGAGGGGAGGGGAGGAGAGGGGAGGGAGGGAUGCUGUCAAGUCACUAAUUUCAAAGUCUUGCCCUUUCUGAAGGGUAGUGCUCAAUAGAGCACUUGAAAGACUGGGGGAACAGGUCAUUCAGAAUAUGCUUCGAGAAACAGUCAUCAUAUCACUUCUAUUACAGCAACAAGGAGUGCCUGACCCAUGGCCUUUAGUGGAGUCUGUGCUGCCAACUUAAGGUUACCGUGCUUAGCGGUUGAUCUUCUGUAGUUCCCCUUGCUGUACCCAACCCCAUCACAGUAAAUGAGCUCAAUCAAACUAAUGAGGUCUGGCCCAGGUGUGCUUACUUGUGUGUGUUUGUGUGCGUGUUUAGAAAGGAAUUAAUUUAGAACAAAUGAAUUCAAAGGCCUCUAUCGAGUUGAUCCAUUAGAAUAGCAGAGCGGGGUAUAGAGGGAGCUACCAUAGCAACACUUUUUAAAAUGAGUAGAUUCCUCUUGUGACUCUAUAAUUGAUAAGGCAAAGGGAGACACUCCUGAUGCUGGUGUGGCUCAGCGGAUGUUUGAAGUUCAUUUUUUUCUUGCUAGGUGAGGUGUCCCACUAUGACCUGCUGCAUAUUAGGUUAGAAACCACACAGCUUUUUUACCAGUUCCAAUUUCUAUGACAGACACACACACCAGUGUACCAGUCCUACACUCCAAGAAACGGCACUGACUUCCCAUAUAUCAGUCAACUUUUAGAUUAUACAAAGGCCCUUAGUGCUUCUGUCUAUAGCUACUAACAAACUUCUUCACACAUUCUCUGCAGUAUUGGUGAUGUGUGUGGCCAUUGCUGAUUAAAAAUGUUGCGUGUUUCCCGUUGGGUUCCCCAGGUUUUUACAUUCGGGAACGAAUGUUAAGCCUACUUCCGCCUGCCAUUCAGAGAAGCAGAGCAAGCAAGAUGGCAAACCAAGUCGUUUAGCAACAUUCAAUAGUUAUAAAAAAUGACUGUGACUAAACACAAAUGUAUGGAUUGAGUCCACACACGAGGUAGCUAGAUGGCUGGGUCAGGGGAACACCCGCUUGCUAGUAACAAGUGUUAGAAAUCGUACUAGCCACCAUUACUGAAUACCAAGUAAUUAGGCUGCCAUGUUGGCCCCUUCCCGCUUUCUCAGACCCACAGACUCACAGGAGACCCAGGCUACUUUGGCCUUGUUGUCUUGCAUAAAGUCUUUUAAACUGGCUUUGUAUGUAACAGUUUUUACCAUUUCAUUUGUCCUUAUAUUUAACUUUUCUUUACCCUGUGUUUUUUUUGUUGAUAAUUUAUAUAAAAAAUUAUUACUGUGUUUUAGUAAUUUACUUGUUUACAACAUCAUUAUGAAACUAUAGAUACUCUUUUUCUAUUUUGCAGUGAAAAUCUGUGAGAUUAAUAUACGCUUAUGAUCUAGGUUAAAAAAAAAACACUUUCCUUCCUCUCAGAAGCAUAACAGCCAGCUGCCAGAGAGAAACCCGCCUGUUCACUCAAUUCACUGAUUCAUGCACAAAUAAAUAAUUCAUGGACUUAUCAGUGGCGACCUCAAUGAAAACAGCCCACCUGGGUAUUUAAAUACAGGACAAUCACAGCAAGCUUAUUAUCGAAAAAUAAAACUAAAACUAGCCGCAAAUAAACUAAUUUAUGAACUGGAAGAAAAAUAACACGUCUGUCCAAGAAACGAAAACUUAACUUAAAACGGGAGUGCUCACCUUUUAUUUAAAACUAAAUAAAUUCAACUUCAUUUUCUUUUUGUAUUCGUUCUUUUUAAUACAAAAGAUGAUAAAAGGUGAGUGGCUUUUUGUCUUGCCUGUUGAGCUACUAGGUAGCUGCAGCUGCUAGAUGGCCUGUGUUUGACCUUGGGCAUUACGGCUCCAACCAUAGAACUUUUGAGUUCCACAAAACAGUGAUGAAACACUGAAAGCCAUCAUAAAGAGGCCUGUGCACUGAAGAGCAGUGUUAGGUCAAAGGGACUGAGCAAUCUAGGAUUACUCUGAACGCACUAUCGAGUGUACUGUGCCUUUAAUAUGAGUGCCUGUUUAUAAAAGUCACAAAAGGUUUUUAUUUGUUAAGUACAUGGCAACAUUUCCAGAUACAUGGUAACAUUACUUUAUAACAGGGCACAUGCAUCCCUGGUCCUGGAGUGCCAGUGAUGUUUCUGGUUUAUGUUCCAUGUAAGCUUGACCUCAAGAGUUUGAUGGAUUAUUAAGAGUCUGAGCCUGAAUAUUCAGUCUGAAUGGUGAAAUGCUGAGUAUCUCCAGCAGUAUCUCUGUUCUUUAAACCUGAUGAUGAACACAAUUACAGUGCUGAGAAAAAGUAUUCGCCCCCUUCCUGAUUUCCUCCAUUACUGCAUA